rnacentral:rRNA from 1 species
CAUGCCGUAAACGAUGAGUGCUAAGUGUUAGGGGGUUUCCGCCCCUUAGUGCUGCAGCUAACGCAUUAAGCACUCCGCCUGGGGAGUACGACCGCAAGGUUGAAACUCAAAGGAAUUGACGGGGGCCCGCACAAGCGGUGGAGCAUGUGGUUUAAUUCGAAGCAACGCGAAGAACCUUACCAGGUCUUGACAUCCCAGUGACCGCUCUAGAGAUAGAGUUUUCCCUUCGGGGACAUUGGUGACAGGUGG